GGCUCAGUAACACGUGGAUAACCUGCCCUUGGGACCGGCAUAACCCCGGGAAACUGGGGAUAAUUCCGGAUAACGCAUAUGUGCUGGAAUGCUUUAUGCGUAAAAUGGAUUCGUCUGCCCAAGGAUGGGUCUGCGGCCUAUCAGGUAGUAGUGGGUGUAAUGUACCUACUAGCCAGCGACGGGUACGGGUUGUGAGAGCAAGAGCCCGGAGAUGGAUUCUGAGACAUGAAUCCAGGCCCUACGGGGCGCAGCAGGCGCGAAAACUUUACAAUGCGGGAAACCGUGAUAAGGGGACACCGAGUGCCAGCAUCAUAUGCUGGCUGUCCAGGUGUGUAAAAUACACCUGUUAGCAAGGGCCGGGCAAGACCGGUGCCAGCCGCCGCGGUAACACCGGCCCGGGGAGUGGUGAUCGUGAUUAUUGGGUCUAAAGGGUCCGUAGCCGGUUUGGCCAGUCCUCCGGGAAAUCUGAUAGCUUAACUAUUAGGCAAACCCGGCAUACUGCCAGACUUGGAACCGGGAGAGGUAAGAGGUACUACAGGGGUAGGAGCGAAAUCUUGUAAUCCCUGUGGGACCACCUGUGGCGAAGGCGUCUUACCAGAACGGGUUCGACAGUGAGGGACGAUUGCUGGGGGCACGAACCGGAUUAGAUACCCGGGUAGUCCCAGCCGUAAACGAUGCUCGCUAGGUGUCAGGCAUGGCGCGACCGUGUCUGGUGCCGCAGGGAAGCCGUGAAGCGAGCCACCUGGGGAAGUACGGCCGCAAGGCUGAAACUUAAAGGAAUUGGCCCGCCGAGCACAACAACGCGCUGGAGCCUGCGGUUUAAUUGGACUCAACGCCCGGACAACUCACCGGGGGACGACAGCAAAAUGUAGGCCAGGGCUGAAGACCUUGCCCUGAAUCGCUGAGAGGUGGUGCAUGGCCCA
rnacentral:rRNA from 1 species